CGCAGGGUCCUGCUCGAAUUACGGACUCCGUGAACCCCGUCAGAUCCGGAAGGAAGCAGCGGUAGCGGUGUUUCGAUUGCGAGCGGGGGUGCCCUGCGAUC
rnacentral:SRP_RNA from 1 species